UGGUGACGAAAAGUGAACAAUGAACAAUAAAUUAUAUAAGCCGAUAAGUUAUCUUGGCCUUCAAUAAAAACAAAGCUCCAUUCGUUCUUUUUUUGGAUAUAUUGCCGUUUGCGUUUGGUAUAAAAAGCGUGCUGCUUGGCUUGUGCAACAUAAUUCAACGCAUACGAGAUAGCGAUUCUACUUCUAUAUAUAGUCCUGGAUUUCCGAACUUCUACCAUAACCCAAGUGGAAACAAAUGCACGGUGACACUGAUCCCACAAGGGGUUGAGAUUGAUCUGAUUUGUUCAAUGAAUAUUCCAAAUGGGGGUCCCCAAUGCAGCAAUAACAAUCUUACGAUAUGGGAUAAUGGACACCCAGAUGUUUACUGCGGAACGGGUACUAAUGUCGAAUAUACUUCUUCAAAUUCUUUGACCUUGGAGUUGGCAUCAUGGGGACGAUUCUUUUGUGUUGUACAAGGUUCUGGUAUUGCAUGUGAUCUAAAAAGACAAAAAAAACCAUAAUCAGGACCCAAAAAUCAUGGAUAUUACAAAUUUGAAAAUUAUCGGAGGCCGCGGCUUUUUGGAAGCUUAUUCAGUAAACAAGGACAAAUCACGAAGUCCAACUGCACCAGAAAAUUAAGGUUUAAUAUGUGGAGGAUUUUGUCGGUUUAAAUUUGUAAGCCACGGUUAUUACAUAUGUAUGUAUACAUAUACAACUUUAGUAGUGCAUAUAUAUAGAGAACACAAAAAAG